AGAAAGUGGAAGGGUCUCCUUCGCUGCCCUCGUCGGACGAAGAGUUGAAGGACGAGAACCCGACUGUCGAACUUGUGGGUCCGAAGUACGACUACUACGAGAGCGGGGCAAACGGGGACACUGUUACAGUCACACUGUUUGUUAAAAGCAUCUCCAAGGAGGCAUUGGCCGUGGACUUUGACGAAAGGGGCUUCCUGGUGAAGUUUCACACCAAGAAUACCAACACUGAGUUUCUGGAGCAGCAUGGAGCAUCAGAGGAGACAACGUUCACAUGGCGUGUCAACGUUAAGGAAGCCAUACGACCGGAGGACUGCCGGUAUAGGCUCAGCCCUUGCAAACUGGAGCUUGUGCUUAAGAAGAAGGUGCC